UGCCAAAAAAUGGGAGAAAACCAGCCAAAAAAUGGUGAAAAAAUGGGGAAAAAAUGGUCAAAAAAUGGGGGAAAAUGGUGAAAAAAUGGGAAAAAAUGGCCAAAAAAUGGUGAAAAAAUGGCCAAAAAAUGGGGGGAAAAAACGGCCAAAAAAUGGGGGAAAACGGCCAAAAAAAGGGGAAAAAGGGCCAAAAAAUGGGUUUGGGGACACACCUGAGUCACCUGCGGGGCUGCGGCGCUGCCUCAGAACCCACCAGGACACCCGGUGCCUGAAGUGGACGGUGUGACCCCGCCCCCAACAUGGCUGCCGCGGCCACGCCCACAACAUGGCUGCUGCUGUGACUCCGCCCCAAGAUGGCCGCCGUGAACGCGUCUUGUGUGGUCCCGCCCCUCAUACCCCAAUAUGGCUGUUGUGGCUCCACCCCCAAGAUGGCUGCUUUGACUCCACCCCCAAGAUGGCUGAAUUAGCCCCACCCACCCAAAAUGGCCACUAUGGCCACACCCCAAGAUGGCCACCAUGGCCACACCCCCAAGAUGGCGGCCAUGGCCUCGCCCCAAGAUGGCGGCCGUGGCCCCACCCACCCCAAGAUGGCUGCUAUGGCCACACCCUAAAAUGGCCACCUUGGCCACACCCCAAGAUGGCGGCCAUGACCACACCCCCAAGAUGGCCACCAUGGCACCACCCACCCCAAGAUGGCUGCCAUGGCCACACCCCAAGAUGGCAGCCAUGGCCACACUUCCAAGAUGGCCGAAUUAGCCCCAUCCACACCAAGAUGGCCACCAUGGCUACACCCCCAAUAUGGUGGCCAUGGCCACAUCCCAAGAUGGCUGCCAUGGCCACACCCCAAGAUGGCCGAAUUAGCCCCACCCACCCAAAAUGGCCACCAUGGCCACAACCCAAGAUGGCCACCUUGGCCACACCUCCAAGAUGGUGGCCAUGGCCACCCACCUCAAAAUGGCCGCCAUGGCCACACCCCAAAAUGGCUGCCUUGGCCACACCCCAAGGUGGCGGCCAUGGCCACACCCCAAAAUGGCCGCCUUGGCCACACCCCAAGAUGGCCGAUUUAGCCCCACCCACCCCAAGAUGGUGGCCAUGGCCACACCCCAAAAUGGCCACCUUGGCCACACCCCAAGAUGGCGGCCAUGGCCACACCCCAAAAUGGCGACCUUGGCCACACCCCAAAAUGGUGGCCAUGGCCACACCCCAAAAUGGCCACCUUGGCCACACCCCAAGAUGGCAGCCGGCCCCCUUUGACCCCAAAUCCAAUUUUUUCCCACCAAAAUCUUUGGGCUGGAAUUUAUUGAGGGAGGGGGAGGA
rnacentral:lncRNA from 1 species